GGGGAUGUAGCUCACCUGGUAGAGCACCUGUCUUGCAAACAGGAGGUAGCCGGUUCGAGUCCGGCCUUCUCCAC
rnacentral:tRNA from 1 species